GGCUCCAUGGCUUAGUUGAUUAAAGUGCCUGUCUCAUAAACAGGAGAUCCUGGGUUCAAAUCCCAGUGAGGCCU
rfam:Neotoma lepida isolate 417 scaffold_7512, whole genome shotgun sequence.